GACGAACGCUGGCGGCGUGCUUAACACAUGCAAGUCGAACGGAAAGGCCCUGCUUUUGUGGGGUGCUCGAGUGGCGAACGGGUGAGUAACACGUGAGUAACCUGCCCUUGACUUUGGGAUAACUUCAGGAAACUGGGGCUAAUACCGGAUAGGAGCUCCUGCUGCAUGGUGGGGGUUGGAAAGUUUCGGCGGUUGGGGAUGGACUCGCGGCUUAUCAGCUUGUUGGUGGGGUAGUGGCUUACCAAGGCUUUGACGGGUAGCCGGCCUGAGAGGGUGACCGGCCACAUUGGGACUGAGAUACGGCCCAGACUCCUACGGGAGGCAGCAGUGGGGAAUAUUGCACAAUGGGCGGAAGCCUGAUGCAGCAACGCCGCGUGCGGGAUGACGGCCUUCGGGUUGUAAACCGCUUUCGCCUGUGACGAAGCGUGAGUGACGGUAAUGGGUAAAGAAGCACCGGCUAACUACGUGCCAGCAGCCGCGGUGAUACGUAGGGUGCGAGCGUUGUCCGGAUUUAUUGGGCGUAAAGGGCUCGUAGGUGGUUGAUCGCGUCGGAAGUGUAAUCUUGGGGCUUAACCCUGAGCGUGCUUUCGAUACGGGUUGACUUGAGGAAGGUAGGGGAGAAUGGAAUCCCUGGUGGAGCGGUGGAAUGCGCAGAUAUCAGGAGGAACACCAGUGGCGAAGGCGGUUCUCUGGGCCUUUCCUGACGCUGAGGAGCGAAAGCGUGGGGAGCGAACAGGCUUAGAUACCCUGGUAGUCCACGCUGUAAACGGUGGGUACUAGGUGUGGGGUCCAUUCCACGGGUUCCGUGCCGUAGCUAACGCUUUAAGUACCCCGCCUGGGGAGUACGGCCGCAAGGCUAAAACUCAAAGGAAUUGACGGGGCCCCGCACAAGCGGCGGAGCAUGCGGAUUAAUUCGAUGCAACGCGUAGAACCUUACCUGGGUUUGACAUGGAUCGGGAGUGCUCAGAGAUGGGUGUGCCUCUUUUGGGGUCGGUUCACAGGUGGUGCAUGCCUGUCGUCAGCUCGUGUCGUGAGAUGUUGGGUUAAGUCCCGCAACGAGCGCAACCCUUGUUCACUGUUGCCAGCACGUUAUGGUGGGGACUCAGUGGAGACCGCCGGGGUCAACUCGGAGGAAGGUGGGGAUGACGUCAAGUCCUCAUGCCCCUUAUGUCCAGGGCUUCACGCAUGCUACAAUGGCUGGUACAGAGAGUGGCGAGCCUGUGAGGGUGAGCGAAUCUCGGAAAGCCGGUCUCAGUUCGGAUUGGGGUCUGCAACUCGACCUCAUGAAGUCGGAGUCGCUAGUAAUCGCAGAUCAGCAACGCUGCGGUGAAUACGUUCCCGGG
rnacentral:rRNA from 1 species